UACAGAGGGGGCAAGCGUUGUUCGGAAUUACUGGGCGUAAAGGGCGCGUAGGCGGCCUGCUAAGUCGAACGUGAAAUCCCCGGGCUCAACCCGGGAACUGCGUCCGAUACUGGUAGGCUUGAAUUCGGGAGAGGGAUGCGGAAUUCCAGGUGUAGCGGUGAAAUGCGUAGAUAUCUGGAGGAAUACCGGUGGCGAAGGCGGCAUCCUGGACCGACAUUGACGCUGAGGCGCGAAAGCCAGGGGAGCAAACGGG
rnacentral:rRNA from 1 species